GUGUUUUGAGUUGAUUAGCUGAUUGGCAUGUCACCAUAUUCUAAUUUGUUGACAGAGUGAAUUGGUGGGUUUUUGUUAAAUGUGAGCCCAAAUCAUCACAAUUAAAAGAACCAAAGACUUAAACUACUUUAUUUAAUACACGAGUUUCAAAAUUUGAGUUGAAUUAUUGAAAUAAAUGAACUUUUCCACGACAUUCUAAUUUAUUGAGAUGCACCUGUAUGCUCCUGAAGGAAACACUAUGCAUUAAAAGCCUCGAGUAAAAACUUUUGAACAGGAUGAAGAUGUCCAAAUUUUUCUUAUUUUGUAUAUAUAUAUAUAUAUAUAUAUAUAUAUAUAUAUAUAUAUAUAUAUAUAUAUAUAUUUUACAUUUAGUACUGCCGUUCGGAAGCAACAGAAGAUACUUGCAUGUUUCCCGAAAAAAAAAAAAAAAAUUAGUAUAAUUUACAUUGAUCUUCAAAUUCAAAAAGAUUUCACCCCCUGGCUUAAUGCAUCGUGUUUCCUUCAGGAGCAUCAGUGAAUGUUUGAACCUUUUUUAAUAGUUUUGUUUGAGUCCCUCAAUUGUCCUCCGUGUGAAAAGAUGGAUCUCAAAAUCAUACAGUCACUGCUGGAAAGGGUUCAAAUCUGCAAAAGAUGCUGGAAAACAGAAAUUUCCGCAGGUCCUGGAGGAUUUUUGUUUUUUCAUCCAGGUAACCAAACACAGUAUUAAGAACCAAGAGUUCACAAACUUUUGAUUAGGGUUAUUUUAAUAAUUUCAGGGGAAAAAAAACUUAGAAUAAAUUUAACCAUAAAAAACUGAGGUUGCUAAAAUUUUUCACAGAUGUUACUGAUUUUGAUAAUGAACAAAAAUUUACCUCUGCAUCCUAACUUAAGAUACUAUCAAAUGUGCAUUUCAAAGAGACAAAAAGUGAUAUUAUUAUUAUUAUUAAUAUUAUCAGGCAAACCCAAACCUGUUUCUUGAUUUGAAACAAUAUCACUUAUUAGAACAUGCAGAAACUAAAAAAAAUAUUUUUUCUAUUUAAAUAUUUAUUUUGUUAAGGAAAAUAAAUGGUCUGGUUUCUACAACUUUUACUUUAGAGCAAAAUUCUGCCUUUAAACCUGACAGAAAUAAAGAUUUUAAAAUUAUUGUGAUAAUUACCAAUAUCGACUGAUAUGAAAAAUUAUAUUGUGAUCAUUUUUUGGCCAUAUCGCCCAGCCCUACUUAUUUUAUAUAUAUAUAUAUAUAUACUUUUUUUAGAUGUAAUUAAAAUAAAUAACUUGAGAUGUUUUUCUGUUGACACUUCACUAAACACAUCCUUCAGAGAACUUUCUGAAUGAAAUAAUAUCCUUCACAAGCUUUCGAUUUGAUUCGAUUCGAUUCAAUUUAAUAUUGAUUAUUUUGGAUAUACAUCAGGUAAAUUUUCUCAAGGGAAAAAGGCUCUCAACUAAUGCUGUAAAACAUACCUGAGAGUCAAUAAUAUUUUUGGAAGGUUAAAAUUAGCUGAUUUGUAUACUUACUAGGGCUGUCAGUCUAAUUAUUUACAUGAGAGUAAAUUAUAACAGAUUUUUAUUUAUUUAUUUAUUUAUUUUUGUGAACUAUCCCUUUAAUGUUUUUAUUAUUAUUAUUAUUAUUAUUAUUAUUAUUAUUAUUAUUAUUAAUAAUAAUUAAAUUAUACUCUAAAUAAGAAACUAAAUCUGCCAGCAGGUGGCAGUAAAUGUCUUUAUGAGUUAUUGAUUUAUUCAAUUCAAAACGAGUGAUUAAUUCAGGAAUGAAGUAAACCACUCUCUUUAUGAAAGGGCUUUGAUUCACUGGUUCACGUUUCGAUCAAAAAGUGGAUUCUGUUGCUCGAAGACGGACAACAAUGUUUACAAGGUAAUAUAUUCUUUGCAAAAUUGAGCAAAAACACAUAUUAUUGGGUUUAAAAUAUAACACAAUAUCAACUUCUUAUUUACUGAACUGUUGUAUAAAAUCACAUUUAAACUUGUGAUAUUCGGGACAAAAUCAUCACUCGUGUAAUAGCUUAGUGCUCUCCCUGCUCGUGUGAUAUCGUAUCAUAUAAAUGUUAGGGGUGCUCCGAUCAGGAUUUUUGAAGCCGAUCGCCGAUCACAGAAAGCACUAUCUGCCGAUAACGAUCACCGAUACAUUUUUAAAGUCUUCUUUUAAUCAUUAUAACUAUUUAUAAUUAUACUCCAAUCAGGAUUUUUGGACAUUUAUUCAGGGCCUGAGUUUCAUUUUUGAAAAUGGGGGAAUUCCCCUCUUAGGUGACUGUUAUGAGAGGGGAAGCACCAGGGACUGUGCUUUCACAGAAACAUCUGCUACUGAUCUGUUCCUGUUUACCACAAACAUCCAUUAUUCAAAUCCAAACACUGUUACUGAAAAUGCUUUUUCAGCAUUGCACAGUACAGUAAUACAAUCUUUCACAGACAUGUUUAAACACAAUAAAUAUAAGCAAUACAUAAUUCAAUGCUUUUUACUUUUGCAUUUACUUCUAGAUUUAUAUAUUAAGUUGCUCAAGCAAUUGGCAAAACAUUUCAACUACUUUUCUAACGUUAUCACAAACUUAUCAUUGACACAAAUAGUCAGCACUACUGCCUUUUCUUUUCCAUUUAAAUCUUUAUUACAAGCAAUCCUGCGGUUCAUAAAGAACUUUGUUUUCCUACCUCCACGAGUGCCAUCUAUUAUUGCCUACUUUAUCUAAAAGUGCUCUUUUCCUUUAAACAUAGCCAAAAAGCCAUAUGUGUUGACUGUGAAACACAGUAGACUUUAAUAAUAUGCAUUUAUGGUGUAAUUACUAAAUUUUCAUGUCCAUCCAAUCCAAACAAUCUCUGCACUGCUGCAAACGCAGCACUCAUGAACGCACUACCAGACUGCAACCGUGUGCAGUGAACGCUUUAAUCCGUUAACAUGAGCGCUUAAAAAACACGCACCACGUAUGCACUGCUAACGGAGUAAUGUGAACCUGGCUUUAUGUGUGCGCUGCAAGUGUGCAUGAGUGCACGGUCUCCAGGAGAGUGCGCGAGCUCUGAAUGGUUAAAAACUGGCAAAAAUGAAAAAGAAAUGCAAUUUAUAAACUUUAGUGAUGAUGGGACACUGCCUCGACUGUGCAAGUGACAAUUCCUGUGUCAACUGUGCAGUGUGCAGCUCGCUUAUAGACAGACGCGAUGUGAGGUGAUUUGAAGUCAUUUGCGUACUUUGAGAGCGUGCGUGCAGUGAUUCACUCACGCUGUUUGUGAAAUUAUGUCUCACACAAGGUUUUCAAAUUACUUUAUAUGUUAUUUCAUGAAGAAAUAUGAAGUUGAGUACCUACAGCAUUAUAAUUAUUUUAUCCAUGCCGGACAGAAACUGAGACAGUGCUGCUGCAUGUCAUGCAAAACCUCUCACGGCAGCGUCAUCAGCUUGAAAUAGUUUUUUUUUUUAGAUCAGCCUUUUGGAGACCGCCGAUCAAUCAUCCCAACAUGAUUAUCGGCCGAUCAAUCAGAGCACCCCUAAUAAAUAUUAGACAAAAACACAAACGGGGCAUUUUUUGCCCCAAUAUCUUGAAUGUUAGGGUAUAACUGCAUUUAUAGAGUGGUCGCCCUGCAUCAUAUUUUGCAAACAGUCAACUGUAUGAAAUAUAAGAUGAUGUACAGGUCUGGGGGCGGGGCCAGUAAAAUUCUAAUGCAUGAAAAUAUUUAAAUUUCGUUAUUUUUCAUAACUAAUUUAUUAAGUUAAUGCAUUAAAUUGACAGCCCUUAUACAAAAACUUAAAAUAUAGUUUUUGUAAUAUUAAAGUUAUAAUACUAACUUUAACUUUUAAUUACAUAAUUACAUUUCUACUCAAAUUCAUUUUUUGAAAUAUAAACAUUUAAAUGGUGGUUGUCACUAAAACGUGACAGAUUUAUUUAAAUUAAAUAUUGUAGAACAGUAAAACAUGAUAAUGAUUUCUUGCUGACUAAUGAAUUCAUGGUCACUGAAUAUGUUUUACUGUGGUAAAUGUGAUUUUACGCGACACAUUGUUUAUAAGCUAUUGUCGUCUUUCCAUGUUUGAAACACUGACUGAGCGAUUACAUGAGACAGGAUACGGAUUUCAGUAAGUUAUACUCUUUCUUUUAACAUAGCUUCGGAUGUUCAUUCAUGUUUAUUUCAUGCUGAAACUGUUAUUAAAGCAGAGAUUAUCAGUUCACGCUGCCGCUUCUGACUGAGGCUUUACAGCGAUCUGUCACUCUAUAUUAAACAGCGCCAAAACGGCAUUGAAUAUUUGAAUAUCGUUAUAAAAUGGACAGAAUUUAAAAAUCUGAGACUUUGUUUCAUAUCAAAAGUAACAAAUCACAAAGCUUAUUGCAAUUUAUUGGAUGGGAGGCACGCUACAUUGUUUUGUUUAUUAUCUGACAGGCUAGGCUCUUGGGAUUUAUGAAUCUAUAUUGUUUCGAGAAAUCUUUUUUUUUUUUUUACCCAGCCCUAGUAAUUAUAGUUACAUUUUAGCGUUUUAUAUAUAUAUGGUUUUAAAGUGGAAAUGAAGCAGUCAGUCAAAUUUACAUUAUUUAGGAAAAUAACUUCCAUUACAAUAAAUAUAUAUAUAACAAACAUGAUUAAUGUAACCAUUUUAAAGAAAAAGAGGUUGUUUUGUUAUAGCUUUUGGAGCAAGGGCGCUGCCAUCUUGCAGUACCACACGCGUGAUGUCACGGGGUUGGUUCACUCCAAUGGCCAGUGAAGUAAUAUAAGCAUUUCUUUACAUUUUGAACACAAGCUUGUUUUGAAAUGGAGGAAGAUGACCUUGAAAGCACUGUUAAGUCCAUAAUAAGCGCAAGUGCCUAUGCAUUUGAGUCGAUACUGUGUGGAUCGGAAACAAUACUUGUUUACGUGGAUACUCCUCAAGACUGUCAUUCUGACGUGCUUUGUGUGCAUUUGCUGAUGAAGGUGCAAAAGAAAGCUCAAUUUGGUAGCCUACACAUGUGCUGUCCAAGCCAAGCUGUGGCUUUGUGUGUGUGUGUGUGUGUGUGUGUGUGUGUGUGUGUGUGUGUGUGUGUGUGUGUGUGUGUGUGUGUGUGUGUGUGUGUGUGUGUGGCGCCGCCGGCGCAAACAGAAAUGGUCUAUCACAACGCCUGAGUAACACAUUUAAAAUCUCUUUCAGAAAAGGUCUAUCACAGCAUAGGUGAUUAAUUAAACACUACGUCCUGUUCACAGCAGGAAAGCUAAUUGUAUUUGCAUGUGAACAUAAAGUAUGAUACAUACAACUGGUGAACCAGUCAAUGUAAUGCAUAUAUAUCUUAAUGGUCUGACAUAACAAUAAAAUGCGACAUGAAUGAUGUUUUAUGAAGCGUUGUUUGUUUACAUAACGUUGCGCCUCGCAAUAUGAAAAUGUUUGGGAUACCACGAUCAAAACUUAGCAUAUAGACAGUUUGAUGUUGAAUAUUCAUCCAAAUUAUGGUGAAAACCAAAUUAUUUGUGUGUUAAAAUAACAUUUGUGUGUUCAAAAUGUAAAGAAAUGCUUAUAUUACUUCACUGGCCAUCGGAGCGAACCAACCCCGUGACGUCACACGCUGUGGUACUGCAAGAGGGGGAGCCCUUGCUGCAAAAGC
ensembl:lncRNA